GGGAAGGCCGGCGGGUCCGGGUCCCACGGCGCGCACGGGCAGGCGGCGGCGCAGCAGAAGAAGGGCAAGUGGAAGUCGGUGUCGCGGGCGAUGAUGGAGAGCGGCCACAUGGUGUCGCCGCAGCAGUGCGAGGACAAGUUCAACGACCUCAACAAGCGGUACAAGCGCGUCGUCGACCUGCUCGGCCGCGGCAAGGCGUGCAAGGUCGUCGAGAACCACGCGCUGCUCGACGCCAUGGACGAGCUCACCCACAAGGCCAAGGACGAGGCGCGCAAGCUGCUCAGCUCCAAGCACCUCUUCUUCCGCGAGAUGUGCGCCUACCACAACUCUGGCGCGGCCGCCGCCGCCGCCGCGCACGGCCCGCACGGCGCCGGCGCCGCCGGCGUCGAGGCCACCGCCUGCUUCCACCACCCGCCGCCCGCGUCCAUGGCCGCCGCCUCGUCCGCCGCGCGCCAGGCGGCGGCGGCGGCCCCU
rnacentral:lncRNA from 1 species